ensembl:lncRNA
CCCAGGGCAGACCCUAUUGAAAAAGCAGAGACCUAUGAAUCCACACAGCCUAAAUUGAAUGUUAUAUCCUUUCUCUACUAACAAUUAAAUGGCAAGUGCAAACAGCAGAAGGGUGGAGACUGAGGUAGACUCCAAGAGUCCUUAGUCAGGGAAAGCCUCAGGAAGCUAGAAUCCCAAAAGGUAUAAACUCUGAACACAGUUAAGCUGCCAGAAUUGAGAAAGGAGCACAGUGUCAUUCACAAAGCAGAAACAUGGUGAGACUCACUGUUAGGACUUUAACUGUCGAUGGGACCUGGGAGAAUGGAGCUGAUAAACAAGAGAGACUAAAGUUUCAUGCAAUAGCCAACUUUAUUCAGAGCAUCAGACAAUUUAUGCGCUGAGUGUUAAGAAGAAGCAUAUAAGUAAAGUAUACAAUCACAAAAGCAAGCCAAAGGUGGCAAAAGCAUGUUUGUCCAUAGAGGCACAUAAACAAAUAACAAUAGCCAGUUGUAAUGAAUAAUCUGAAGUAAACUACUCCCAACCCCUACAGCUGGGAAGAACAUGACAGCGCAUUCCAAGAACAAUUCCGCUGCUUUGUAGAAACUGGGGUCACAAGGCUUGUCUUGUUUUCUUGGAGUUUUCUCACAAACACUCAGGAUUUGCCUUGCACAACUCCAUUCAAGUAAACACAUUCUGAGCAACCCCCUGACCCAGACAACUAAAAUGUCUAUUUAAAUGGUGCUCCUUAACUCACAAAUGCCUCAAAAAACAACUAUAAAAUUAAUUUCUAUAUGUCCCCAAAGUAUGAACAGAGCAUGGACCCUGGCUGAAAGAGGUAGAGGUAGCUCUCACCCUAAAGUUUCUGCCACUCCAGUAGGCAGUAAGCUCCUGUGUAGAGGGCUUCACAGAGCUACAGGGCCCACUUAAGACAGGAAAUGCAAAUGAGGACCCCAGCCACACAAUGUUGAGACUCAGGGAACUGGCCUUGGUUCCAGAGAAAGACUCCUCUCUCUCUGUAGACCCUCACAGGGACAGUCCUCACAGGGACAGUCUUCACAGGGACAGUCCUCACAGGGCCUGUAGCCCAAAUGCUCCCUGUAAAGUUUAUAGGAUGACCAGCACUGGAUAGAGCACAUAUGCUCUGCGUGUGACUGGCAUAGAGAAUUCGAAUAGUAUAUUCAGGGCCCUGAAUUUGAUCCCAAAGAAUUCCUAGAGUGUUCCUGAUCAUUGCUCUAGCUUCAAACCAGAUCUUGGCAAAUUCCCACAGAGAAUUUUCUUUAUUAAAAAGCAAGUCUCAAGUAAAAAUGAUGGAACUCUAGAAACAGCAUGAAUACAAAAAAAAAAAAAAAAUGGCAUGCUCUUGAAAAAGAGUCCCCUCUCCCAAUAGCCCCAUCCUUGGACAGCCAUGAGACUUGUUUUCACGCUAUACAAAAAAAAAGCCUUCCUUUAUUUUAGUUUAUUUAGGUUUUUCUUUUCUUUUCUAUUUCCCUCUUUCUUUAAAAGCUGUCUUACUCUGCCUAUUGAGUGGGCUUCUGAGCCUCAGGCUGUAGCCCCAUUCUUCCAUCUUUGACAGUGCCAAUGAUCUAUGCAUCUCUUUGGUAUCCAAUUGAAUGACAGACUGGGUGAACAAGAGAAGCUUACUAUGGCCAAGUGGGACUUGACUGCAGAAGAAAUGUAUUAGAGAAUAGAUGUGGGGAAUUUGAAUUAUGCUUAUCAAACCCAAUUUGGAGGACUGCAAAUGGCUGGGAAUUAAAAAAAAAAAGUGAAACCAAAGGAGCAAAGGAAUGGCCACCUAACUCCCCACAUAGGUCAAGCACAGAAAAAUAACUAGUCUGAUCAUUUUAGACACAAUGAGAAAUAAUUCACAGUUGAAAGUCUGGUCGAUGCAGAUAAAUCUGUCACAUAAAGGUGAAGGCAGUGACUGUUAGCCACUUUAAACAAUGUUACAUGGCACUGUCACAGAAGACAGAAGAUGAUGCUGUAAACCUGCUCUACUCUUCCAGGAACGAUGCCACUUUCAAAUCCCUAGGCCUAUGGAGGAGGAUAAAAAUGGCUUCAGUUCUCCAGAGAACGUGACUCCGUGUUGGCUGACUGCCGGUUGCUGCUAAGGCUGUGUUUUCUUCAUCAGCUCACCCAGACUUCUCUUUGUUUUCCUGAAAUACAAGCAAAUUGCCUGGCUGUUGACCAGAGUAUGGUGGCCAGACAUCAGGUGGCAGGCAGGAGGUCUCCAGGCCCAGAACUCCUGGCCUUCCUCGAGGGCUGAAUGCACAGUGUUGGUUAACACAGUUCAGAACAGGGAAAGAGGAUGUGUUCAGGAGCUAAAGUCAGUGAGUUCUUAGGGGCUUUCUUCAGUCUGUAAGAAGUGCUUUGAGAUGAACUGGACUUUUAUCUGGAAACCCAGUUGUGCAGCCCUUCCUUUGUUCUGCAGUGAACAAACUGCCCCACAGUUAUUUUCUGCUGCAAGUCGAAUACACAGUGGUAUUUGAAAACACUUUGUCAUCAGGACUUCAGGAAGUGAGAAGAGUGUUCUGCAUCUUCCUUUCCUUGUUUGUAAAACCAUUUUCAGUCUUAGAUGUCAGGACCUUCAGAAUCCACUCUGAAGAACAGUGAGUGGUUUUGAAGCCAGUCUACUGCAAACGAGUGUCACAGAAUCACUGGUUAGAAGCACCGAGAUACAAAUGAGUUCAUUUAGUGUUUCAGCUGGUGCCUCAGCAAAAGCCUUCUUGUUUUUCACUUCAGCUUGCUACCUUUAAAAGGUUUAUUUAAAAAGCGAAACAAAAAAGCAACAACAACAACAAAAAAAAUUGUUUGGCUUUAACCAUAGUAACUUCGGACAGUUAGCAUGUGAUUUCUCUCACCAGGCACUUUGUAAGUGUCUGUAUGUUCAAGGUGUUAACUUCUCUCCACCAAGGCCAAAAGUCAGGCAAGGGAUCAGGCCUAAAACUAUUUAAAUUUUACAGAUGUCACCAUAGAUAGUAUUUUUUAUUUUUUAAGUUCUUUUAGUUUAAUGGGAGCCUUCCUAUUUGAUCUUUAUCAAAAAUAUACUUAUCUUGAUUCAUUACUAAGAAUCUCUUCUUACCACAAAACAAAGUAUAAUAUUUCCAUUACCAACAACAUCCUUACCAAGACCCACUACCUAUAGAGGACUGUCCCUGAACAAAACAAUACAGUAAAGCAGCUGCUUCGUGGUGUUGAAACGUAGGGAAGAAGUCAAAUGAUACCAGGGGACAGGAGAGUCUGAAUUCAAGCAGCCUAUGGGGACUCUCUGUUCAACUAUCAUAGUGCUUCUAAGAACCUAUGUGUAAGAACUCACAACACUAAACCAACAUAUGCAAACUUCACUAACGAUAUAUUUUUAAUUUCAGUGCAGAAGAAAAUACAAAAGAGGAUUAUUAGCAUAAAGCUAUGGGAGCUAAAUGUUCAGAGUCCCCACAAGCACAGCCUCGUGCAAGGCUUCCUAUACAUUUUUAAUUAUUUUUCAUGGAUAUAGUUAUGCUCCCCACUAUUUUAGACUCAAGGCAUUCUGUUUAUUGUAAUCCUCUUGUAAAAUCAGAAGGUCAAUUAUAUGUUUUCAACAUGUAAUGGCACAGAAUAUCAAUUACCAUUCCAGAAGACAGGAACAGAUGCACAGUGGGGAUACUGGACCAAAGUAAGACCAAAACCCAACAAGGUAAACUCUAAAUCCUGGAGCUUUCUGAAAUUGGACUAUAUUUUGGAUAUAUAACUCUAAAGUCAUUAAUUUUUCCAUAAGUUAAUAUAGAAAAAGCAAAAUAGCAGUAUGAGAUAAUAAAUGCUAAAAGACAGAAAUUCAGAAGAAAAAAAAAAAAACAGUAACUAGGAAAUAGGAAGGCAGAUAGGAUUUGCACUGGGUCUCUAAAAUUUAAAAAAGUAUAAUUUCAUCUUUAUGGUGGAUUGCUAACAUUUUUGUUGUUCUCUGUAUUAGUUACUUUUUUUAAUGCUGUGAUGAAACACCAUGACCAAAGUAACUUAUAGAAGGAAAGGUUUACCUGGGACUUAUGGUUCCAGAGAGAUGAGAGUCCAUCAUUGUGGGAAGUAUGUUAGCAAGUAAGAAGGCAUGGUGCUGGAGCAGUAGCUAAAAGCUCACAUCCCAGUGCACAGACCGGUAGCAGAGAGCACACUGGGAAUGGCACCUGUUUUCUGAAACUUCCAAGCCCACAUCAGUGACACACCACCUUCAAUAUGUUUACCCCUCCUAGGAUUUCCCAAAGAGUUCUAUCAACUGGUGACCAACUAUUCAAACAUAUGAGCCUAUGGGGCCAGUCUCAUUCAACCAUCAUACUCCACCCCCUGCCUUCUAGACUGGUGUCAUAUCACGAUAUAAAAUGCAUGUACUCCAACUGUAAAAAUCAGUCUUUCAGUCUCAACAACACGUAAAAGUACAAAAUUGAAAGUUUCUUUCUAGACUCAAGGUAACCUCUUAGCUGUAAUCCCAUAUGUAUUAGUUGGGGUUCUCUAAGAAGUGGUUCUCAACCUUUCUAAUGCCUCGACCCUUUAAUACAGUUCCUCACUUUGUGGUGACCCCCAGCCAUAAGAUUACUUUGUUGCUACUUUGUAACUGUAAUUUUGUUACUGUAAUGAAUUGUAAUGUAAAUAUAUGAUAUGCAGGCUAUCUGAUAUGACACCCCUGUGAAAGGGCCAAUUGAUAACCCCAUAGAGCUACCACAGGUUGAGAACCACUAGAGUCUAGAGCAAAGGUUAUCAAUCUGUGGGCCAUGACCCCUUUGGGAUCUAAUGUCCCUUUCAGAGGUUGUCUAAGACAAUCUGCAUUUUAGAUAUCUGUAUUACAAUUUAUAACAGUAGCAAAAUUAUAGUAAUGAAAUAGCAAAAAAAUGCUUUUGUUGUUGGGGGUCACCACAACAUGAAGAACUGUAUUCAAGGGUCACAGCAUUUGGGAGAUUGAGAACCACUGGUCUAGAAUUUAUAGAAUGACUCUCUGUACAUAUAGAAAGAGGAGUUAUUAGAAUGACUUACAGGCUGCAGUCCAGCUAAUCCAACAAUGGCUAAGUGUGAACUAAAAAUCCAAGAAUCCAGUAGUUGCUCAGUCUACAAAGCUGGUCUUCAGUAAAAGCUAAAAUCCAAAAGAAAUAGGCUCUAAUACCAGUGAAGAAAUAGACUUGCUCACAAGGCAAGGGCAAGCAGGAAAAGAGCAAAAGCGUCCUUCUUCCAAGUCCUUAUAAAGGCUUCCCACAGAAGGUGUGGCCCAGAUUAAAGGUGUGUCUUCCUGCCUCGAGAUCCAGAUCAAAAGUGUGUGUAGUCCAUGGGGAAGGGCCUAGGCCUGGCCCAGGAUGAUGCGGUAGACUUUGGGGAGCCCCUUUUGAGGGCCUUACCCUGCCUGGGGAGUGGAGGGGGGAUGGCUAGGGGCAGGUGGGAUGUUGGGGGAGGGGAGGGAGAGGGAAAGGGAGAAGGGAUUGACGUCUGAAGCAAGCUUGUUCCUAAUUUGAACUAAUAAAAUAAAAUAAAAAGAAAAGAAAAAAAAAGAAAGAAAAAGAGAAGAAAAUAAAAAAAGUAUGUGUAGUCCUACUUCAAAAAGUCAGGACUAGAAGUGGAGCCACCCACUUCAAACCAAGUCAAAAAAAAAAAAAAUCUCCCACAGAUGUGCCCUUCAUUUCUCAAUUGUAGUUCAUUCCAGAUGUAGUCAAGUUGACAACCAAGAAUAGCCAUCACACCCUGUGAAAUCAAAUUACAUUCUUCCAACAUAUGAUGGCACAGAAUACACAUCAUCAUUUUAAAAGGAAGGAAUUGGGGCGUAGCAAAGAUAUACUGGACAAAAGCCAAGACAAACUCCAAAUCCGUAUUAUCAAAGGACCUAGAUGGCUCUGCCCUUCCAGCUUUGCUACACACAAGCUACGUCUCUCUUCCAGGCUGAUUCCGUUCUCUGUGUUCCCUUCACAGAUAUCCCACAACUCUGGCACCUCUAAAAUGAGGUCUCCAAUGCAUUCCAGGUUUCACUUUUAUAGCUUCACACAAUGGUCUUUCAGGACCUCCAUGCAGAGAGUCCCCUGCCACAUGUCUGGCCUUAGAGGCUCUCCUUGAUCAUAAAGAAGGACUUCACAGACCUUCAUGACUCUAAAACCAGAACCACACAGAUGACCUACCAAGUUGAGGUGCCUGCUUGGAUGGAGCCUGACCCAUGAAUCACAGUCACAGCGGUUGCCAUUUGUUUUUGCUUUUGAGGAGCAGACAAUCCUUAGGUCUUUUACAGGCUUACCUGGGUGAGGUCUCACCCUUAGGGCUCCCCUUGGUUCAUUUCAUUCAUUCCAGAAGAUCAGGCUUCUCCUUUCUCUCCUUAGCUCUUUCACCACAAGCCUUAGCUGCAACCUUAAAGUUCAUGGUGUUAUUCUUCUCUUUGAAGUGUACUUCUUUAAAUUUCUUUUUGCCACAAGUGUUCUUUUCCAUUACUUAUCUGAUUGAGGAUGCUGGUGGUAUAUGUCCUCUCUUGUUGGGCUCACGUGGCAAAUCCAGAGAAGAGAGCAGAAGGAAGAGGAAGAGAGUGACUUCCUGCUAGUCCCUGCUUAUAUUCUGAGUGUGCCUGCUAUGUCAC